AGUCGAGCGGUAGAGAGAAGCUUGCUUCUCUUGAGAGCGGCGGACCGGUGAGUAAUGCCUAGGAAUCUGCCUGGUAGUGGGGGAUAACGUUCGGAAACGGACGCUAAUACCGCAUACGUCCUACGGGAGAAAGCAGGGGACCUUCGGGCCUUGCGCUAUCAGAUGAGCCUAGGUCGGAUUAGCUAGUUGGUGGGGUAAUGGCUCACCAAGGCGGCGAUCCGUAACUGGUCUGAGAGGAUGAUCAGUCACACUGGAACUGAGACACGGUCCAGACUCCUACGGGAGGCAGCAGUGGGGAAUAUUGGACAAUGGGCGAAAGCCUGAUCCAGCCAUGCCGCGUGUGUGAAGAAGGUCUUCGGAUUGUAAAGCACUUUAAGUUGGGAGGAAGGGCAGUAAAUUAAUACUUUGCUGUUUUGACGUUACCGACAGAAUAAGCACCGGCUAACUCUGUGCCAGCAGCCGCGGUAAUACAGAGGGUGCAAGCGUUAAUCGGAAUUACUGGGCGUAAAGCGCGCGUAGGUGGUUAGUUAAGUUGGAUGUGAAAUCCCCGGGCUCAACCUGGGAACUGCAUUCAAAACUGACUGACUAGAGUAUGGUAGAGGGUGGUGGAAUUUCCUGUGUAGCGGUGAAAU
rnacentral:rRNA from 1 species